rnacentral:rRNA from 1 species
GAUGAACGCUGGCGGCGUGCCUAAUACAUGCAAGUCGAGCGAAGCGGGGACGGGUGAGUAAAACGUGGAAAACAUCCGAUCAGACUGGGAUAACUUCGGGAAACCGGAGCUCAACCGGAAACUUAUCGAUGGAUAUGCGAUGCAUUAGCUAGUUGGGAAGGUAACGGCUCACCAAGGCAACUAUGGAGAGCCUACCUGAGAGGGUGAGCGUCCACACGGGAACUGAGACACGGUCCAGACUCCUACGGGAGGCAGCAGUAGGGAAUCUUCCGCAAUGGGCGAAAGCCUGACGGAGCAACGCCGCGUGAUUGAUGAAGGUCUUCGGAUCGUAAAGCUCUGUUGUUAGAGAAGCGGUAUCUAACCAGAAAGCCACGGCUAACUACGUGCCAGCAGCCGCGGUAAUUC